rnacentral:rRNA from 1 species
AUACGGAGGGUGCAAGCGUUGUUCGGAAUCACUGGGCGUAAAGGGCGCGCAGGCGGUUUGGUAAGUCAGAUAUGAAAGCCCACGGCUCAACCGUGGAAGUGCAUUUGAAACUGUCAGACUUGAGUACUAGAGGGGAAAGUGGAAUUCCCGGUGUAGAGGUGAAAUUCGUAGAUAUCGGGAGGAAUACCGGUGGCGAAGGCGACUUUCUGGCUAGAUACUGACGCUGAGGCGCGAAAGCGUGGGGAGCAAACAGGAUUAGAAACCCUAGUAGUCC